rnacentral:ncRNA from 2 species
CAAAGGCUUGGUCCUGACUUUACUAUCAGCUCUAACACAACUUACACAUGCAAGUAUCCGCGCCCCUGUGAGGAUGCCCUUAAUCCCCCGCCCGGGGACGAGGAGCAGGUAUCAGGCACUAAUAAUUUAGCCCAAGACACCUUGCCAAGCCACACCCCCAAGGGAAUUCAGCAGUGAUAAAUAUUAAGCCAUAAGUGAAAACUUGACUUAGUUAGCGUUAAGAGGGCCGGUAAAACUCGUGCCAGCCACCGCGGUUAUACGAGAGGCCCUAGUUGAUAGGCACGGCGUAAAGGGUGGUUAAGGAAGGCAAAGAUAAAGCCAAAGGGCCUCCCGGCCGUCAUACGCUCCCGAGUGUCCGAAGCCCACAAACGAAAGUAGCUUUAGCCCCGCCCACCUGACUCCACGAAAACUGAGAAACAAACUGGGAUUAGAUACCCCACUAUGCUCAGCCGUAAACCUAGACGCUCUUUCACUAUAAGCGUCCGCCCGGGUACUACGAGCGUUAGCUUGAAACCCAAAGGACUUGGCGGUGCCUCAGACCCCCCUAGAGGAGCCUGUCCUAGAACCGAUAAUCCCCGUUAAACCUCACCACUUCUAGCCAUUCCCGCCUAUAUACCGCCGUCGUCAGCUUACCCUGUGAAGGACUAACAGUAAGCUAAAUGAAUACAAUUCAAAACGUCAGGUCGAGGUGUAGCGCACGAAGUGGGAAGAGAUGGGCUACAUUUUCUGAAACAGAAUAUUACGAACAGUACCCUGAAAAAUAACUCGAAGGAGGAUUUAGUAGUAAAAAGGAAAAAGAGUGUCCUUUUGAACCCGGCUCUGAGGCGCGUACACACCGCCCGUCACUCUCCCCUGUCACACAGCAGCAAACGUUUUUAACACCAAAGCACCGACAAGGGGAGGCAAGUCGUAACAUGGUAAGUGUACCGGAAGGUGCACUUGGAUCAAACC